GCAGAUUUCAGUGAAUCAUCGAAUCUCUGAACGCAAUUGCGCCUCUGGUAUUCCGGAGAACAUGCCUGUUUGAGCGUCAUGAUCACCCACACCACCUAGAGUUUUCUAUUGGCUUGGAUCUGGGUGUGUCGACCGAUCGCACAGCAUAGAGGAGUGAGGAUGUAGACAUGUCGUCGCGGCGUACUAAGCUGGCGCGACAGUAAAUCGACGGGCCUAUGCCCUCUAAUUCGUUCCUUACGACUUUAGAGACUCUGGCCUGCAAGGUACAGGUACAGACUACCCGCUGCAAUCUGAAGCAUACUGCAA
rnacentral:rRNA from 1 species